AUUUUAUUUCGAGGAAAUACACAAAAACUCAAUUAUCUAUCUUAUAUCUCUUCCUUACAGAAAUUUCUAUGAAGCAAUUAGUUAAGUAUGAUAAAUUUGAUGAGAUUUGAGCUAUUGUUGUCUUUCUUCCACAACUGCAGAAAUGGAUUGAUUUGUAACUGUAAUCAAGAGAAAGAGAACACCAGAAAUACAAAUUCCUUCAUCUUAAAUUUCACCCUGUCCACAACAAGUACCUUCAAUUUCUUGUACUCAAGUACCUUCAUCUUAUAAUACUAAUGGUCCAGAAGUAUCUUCAACCCAUGCUCCUAGUCCACAAGUAGAUUCUACUGCUGUACAUGAGUUUUCGACGUGGGAUCUUCAAACAGACCCUGGAAUGAGAAAGUCGAUAUCAAGUUAUCAUCCAAAUGAUCAAUAUAAAGUACGAAGAGAUUAUAUACAAAAGGGUCCUUUCCAACCUAAGAAUUUCACCUAUCCACAAAAGCCAAUGUGAUCAACGAAACCGUCGAACCAACGUUUCAAUAAAGCUUGGUUCUUAAAACAUGGAAGUUGGUUGGAGUAUAGCAUUUCUAAAGAUGCUAUAUUUUUCUUGCCUUGUUAUCUUUUUAGAAAUUAUGUUAAGGGUAAAGGUGUUUGUGAUGCUUUUGUGAGUGUAGAUUUUUCAAAUUGGGGCCAACCUUGUAAGUUAGAUAAACAUGUUGGAGGGUUGAAUAAUGUUCACAAUGAAGCUUGUAUGAAAAGUCGUGAGUUAUUUAAGGAAUCACAUCAUGUUCAGACUAUCUUUAAAUGUCAAAAAAUGCAAACCGGUUUGGGGUAUAAGAUUCGUUUGACCGCAUCUAUUGGUUGUAUUCGGUUUCUUUUAUGUCAAGGGUUAGCUUUUCGUGGACAUGAUGAAUCUGAUGCUUCACGUAAUCAAGGUAACUUUAAAGAACUUCUUAAAUACACAGCUGAACACGAUGAUAGUAUUAAGAGUGAAAUUCUAAACAAUGCUCCUGGUAACCUUAUAUUAACUUUUCCGGACAUCCAAAAACAAAUAGUGAGUGCAGCUGCAAUGGAAACUAUGGAUGCAAUUCGUGAGGAUAUUGGAGAUUCUCUUUUUGCCGUUAUGGUUGAUGAGUAUAAGGAUGUAUCGGUUAGAGAGAAAAUGGCAGUUAUUAUUCGCUAUGUUGACAAGAAAGGUUGUGUUAUUGAAAGAUUUAUUGAUAUCAUUCAUGUCCUUGAAACAACAACACUUUCUUUGAAGACUUCUCUUGACGCUUUAUUUGCCAAGUAUUAUUUGAAUAUAAUGAGAUUAAGAGGGAAGUGCUAUGAUGGAGCUAUUAAUAUGCAAGGUGUAAAUUACGGUCUUAAGGAACUUAUAUUAAAAGAAAACCCGUCAGCAUAUGUUAUUCAUUGUUUCGGGCUUAGUGAUGUUGCAUUGCUCUUUACUUUAGUCGGUAAAACUGUUACUAUUGUUUGACGCAGAGAUACUCUUCGAGAAUUUUUUUUUUCUAAAGUGGUUGAACUUGUUCAGAAAGAUGAACGUUUAAGUGGUAAGGGUUUGAAUCAAGAAACUUUCCUCAAACGAGAUGCUGACAUGCACUGGGCGCUUAAUGAGCGGUUUGAUGAAGUGAACACCGAGUUGCUUUUUUGUAUGUCGCGUUUGAAUCCAAGCGAUAGGUUUUCAGAUUUUGACAAAGGUGCGUUAAUUCGUCUUUCUAAAUUAUAUCCAACUGAUUUAUCCCAAGUGGAUAUUAUGCUUCUUGAUCAACAACUAGACACCUUUUAUGCUGACGUGGUUUCUAAUAAUAAUUUUCUUGCAUUGAAUGGGAUCAGUGGGCUUGCACAUAAAAUGGUUGACACGAAAGAGAUUUAGUGUAUCCUCAUGUGUACUUAUUGAUUACAUUGUCUUUAAUAUUGCCGGUUGCUACAACUACCAUUGAGAGAGCAUUUUCCGCUACGGAUACAGUGAAGAAUAUAUCGUUUGCAAAAUCGUAUUGGCAAUGAGUGGUUGAAUAACUGUUUACUAACAUAUAUUGAAAGAGAAUUUUUUCGCAGGAUUAGCGAUGAUAUGAUUAUUACACUAUUCCAAGGUAUGGCAACACGCCGGGGGCAUUGUUGAAUACAGCAGGAGUUGGUUUUUUUGGUAACCAUACAACGUUUUUUGGGUAAUUAUACUGCAGACAAGGUAUUUUUUGGGUAUCUUAUGGAUACUACUAUGUGUAUGUAAGGCUAGUAGGCAUUGUAAUAUACAAUCUAUUAUCUGCAAUGAAAUAUUUUUUUUGUAUUAUUCUUUUUGCUACCCUUGUGAUUGACAACACCCACUUGAUUUGUGAAGAUUGUUCCAACAGUUGGUGUUAGAUUCUAAGCAGACGACAUAGAAAAUUAUAAACCUAGAAUGUAAACUAAUGCACUCACAAAUCAGGUACAAAUAUUGCUUUCAGGUGAAAAUUCUACAUUGUCAGCUUGGAAAUGGAUAAAUGAGGAAAACUAUUAUUUAGAGGACUCUAGAAGUUAAAGUAUACUCAUUUAAUGUACACAUACAACAACUGAACUUGAUUUAACCUUUGAUGAUGGUCUAUUGUAGGAUAAAAGACAAGGGUCUUUGAUGCAAUUGAUGCUGCUCUAGAAAGGGGCAGUGAUUGCAUCGCCUGAUUAAUUUUCUGGAGACGUUCUUUCAUUUUUCCACGGGGAAACACUCCAAGAUGACAGGAUCAAGGGACGAUCAUUAACGGGUACUGGAGGUCCAAGUUCCCGUUCACGCUAAUACCUGUAAGUUUCAAGAGGGAGAAAAUGGAUAAUUACAGCCCAUCAAUAUACAAUGUCGAUGCAAGCAUAUCACUCUUUCAUCAUGAAAAAUGAAUCCGUGUUCCGCGAUGAUUGAACUGGGACUAAAAAAGUCACUCCUGAGUGAAAAACUCCAUAUUUGCAUACUCUAAGUUAGUUCGUCAAGUCACAAGUAUGCACAUCUUGGAUGAUCAUUCCUCCAUACUGAAGGAAAAACUGUCAGUGGGGAAAUUACUGGACUAAAGUUUCUGAUAACAGUGUAACAUAUCUCCAGCAUUCCCCAAAAUUAAGCAUAAGAUUUAUUCCUCAUGUAUAUACCUAAUCACAUAGUUAAGUCUCUCCUUUGAGCCCCCCUCAGACUUACACAAGAUUGUGGAUUUGGCUGAGGUGCAGAAUUUUAUAUGAUGUGAGGUGUAGACUACAUCGUCUAAUCUAAUUUGGUUGAAAGUUUCUAUCGAUUGUCAUAAUACUAAUUGAACACUCUCAUCUACCUAUAGAAAGGAAACCAUCUAUUUAUGUUUGUGUAGUUAUAUUGAAUUGGUCAAUGAGUCAAUGCUAAAUGGAUUUUCCUCUUUGGGUGAUAGAACCAUUGCGUUAAUCAAGGACCAGUGGUUAAACAAAGAUCAAAAGGGGAAUCCCUAUGCAAAGUGGAUUUUUGUUGUUUAAGUAUAAUAAUCAGCAUCAUGUUUGAGUUUUCUGAGUUUACUCCCCUCUGGAUGGUGACAGUCUGGCCUGGGGUGAUGUUAGGUUUGCCGACAGGUUAUUGUAAACAGGGAAAAUCAGUCAAGAUCCUGAGCAUUUGUUAGGGGUGAAGAGGCUAAUUUUGUAUUUGAUUGUUUUUCCCAGUCAAAAAUGGUAUGAUUCUCAAUCCCAGGCUCUGUAGUGAAGACUUAAGGUUAACAUUUGAUAGUCCCUUGAGGUGACAUUGUAUUUUGUCCCAAAAUAGAUGAGCCAUUUCACUAAUCAAGGGGGUAUUUCUAAAACUAUCCUUUUAAUUGAUUAUUAUUACUAUAAGAAAUAUGUAUAAUUUGAUAACCAUGUUUAUAUUCAUUGCAUAUGUGUUUU